rnacentral:lncRNA from 1 species
GUGGUGGAGAUGGAGAUGGAGGUGGGGGAGAUUUGUAAUAGUAAGGAGGUGGAGGUGACGGGGAUGGUGGUGGAGGUGAUUUGUAAUAGUAGGGAGGUGGUGGAGAUGGCGAUGGUGGUGGUGGAGAGUGAUAGUAGUAUGGGGGAGGAGGGGACGGAGAAGGUGGGGGUGGGCUCUUGUAAUAGUAUGGAGGUGGAGGAGAUGGAGAUGGUGGAGGGGGACUCUUGUAGUAGUAAGGAGGUGGUGGAGAUGGCGAUGGUGGUGGUGGAGAGUGGUAGUAGUAUGGGGGAGGAGGGGAGGGAGACGGUGGAGGUGGACUCUUGUAAUAGUACGGAGGUGGAGGGGAUGGAGAUGGUGGAGGGGGACUCUUGUAAUAGUAUGGAGGUGGAGGUGAUGGGGAUGGUGGUGGAGGUGAUUUGUAGUAAUAAGGAGGUGGUGGAGAUGGCGAUGGUGGUGGUGGAGACUUGUAGUAGUAAGGUGGGGGAGGGGAUGGUGAGGGUGGUGGAGGAGAUUUGUAAUAGUAUGGAGGUGGAGGGGAUGGUGAUGGUGGAGGUGGUGACUUGUAAUAGUAUGGUGGAGGAGGGGAUGGUGAUGGUGGUGGUGGAGACUUGUAGUAGUAAGGUGGGGGAGGGGAUGGUGAAGGUGGUGGAGGAGACUUGUAGUAGUAAGGUGGGGGAGGGGAUGGUGAAGGUGGUGGAGGAGACUUGUAGUAGUAAGGUGGGGGAGGGGAUGGUGAAGGUGGUGGAGGAGACUUGUAAUAGUAUGGUGGAGGAGGGGAUGGUGAUGGUGGGGGUGGUGACUUAUAGUAGUAUGGUGGGUGUGGAAUUUCUUUAGGUGGGGGAGGAGAAUGAUAAUAGUAUGGUGGAGGGGGGGAUGAUCUUGGAGGUGGAGGAGAUUUGUAAUAGUAUAAGGUGGGGGAGGGGAUGGUGAAGGUGGUGGAGGAGACUUGUAGUAGUAAGGUGGGGGAGGGGAUGGUGAAGGUGGUGGAGGAGACUUGUAAUAGUAUGGUGGAGGAGGGGAUGGUGAUGGUGGGGGUGGUGACUUAUAGUAGUAUGGUGGGUGUGGAAUUUCUUUAGGUGGGGGAGGAGAAUGAUAAUAGUAUGGUGGAGGGGGGGAUGAUCUUGGAGGUGGAGGAGAUUUGUAAUAGUAUGGAGGUGGAGGGGAUGGAGAUGGUGGUGGUGGAGACUUGUAGUAAUAAGGUGGAGAAUAAUAAUGGACGGGUGGAGGCGGAGAUUUGUACUUAUAGACUGGUGUUGGAGGAGGAG